rnacentral:lncRNA from 1 species
GUCAAAGUAUAAAAAAAAAAGGCAGUUUGUCAGAAUCAACGUGAUUACUUAUCAACUGACCUACGAUUUAUUAAAGUUCUAUAAAUUAUUUCAAAGGAAGGUGUCAAGCGCGGAGCUGCGUUGGAUGACAAGUAUAAUAUAGAUUUUUAGCAGUUAAAGAAAAAACAAAUGUUACAUUGUAUUUGCAGUUUUUAUAAUCUAUUUCUUUGAUAAUCGAAGUCGCAAAACAUCCUUUUUUCACAAAAUCCGCUCUUGUAAUGGUCAGGUGAGCAAUUGUUAUCUAUCUCGUCCCACUUUGCGUCCUUCGGUCCGCCUGUCUAUCUGUCUACUCUUCUUAACCAAGUUUUAAGGGCUGGUGUUAUAGAGUAAUUCUUAAGUAAGGCAGUUAAAUUUCACUUUAUUGAAACCAUAUACAAAUGGCUUAGACACAUUGACACAGAAUCAAAAUAAAAUGAUCUGCAGCUUCUGUUUGUGAGGCUGCAGCUUUAUUAUUGUAGCUUUAUAAACUCACUCAUAUAUGUAAUAUGAAUUCCUUAGUGCGUAAGUUAGGAGAUUGUUGUGGAUUUGUAGGCGACCUUGCCAUCAUAACUCGUAGGUUCUCCGCGGAACAGGGACAUAUUGUUUUACCUCUGUCCUUCCUUCCGUUAGUCAGUCACUUGAUAUUUGGUCCAGAGGAUCCACUAGAAAGCAUACAAACCUAUUACUAGUACGUCAUUAUUGAAUUCCCCCUGAAGAUAUUCGGUUGACUAAUAUGAAUGCAAC